rfam:Triticum aestivum genome assembly, contig: Triticum_aestivum_CS42_TGACv1_scaffold_147562_2BS
CUUGUACUCCCUCUAUGCCAUAUUAGUUGUCGCUCAAACGGAUGUAUCUAGCACUGAAAUACGUCUAGAUACAUCCGUUUUAGCGACAAUUAAUAUGGAACGGAGGGAGUACGUA